AUGGAUUCAGUGUUGCAGGCCUUCAAGUUGGCGUUCUUGCCCACGCGCGGCAUGGAUCUUGCUGGAGUUGAGCUCGCUGUGGCCGCAUACAUCUUCAGCAAGGAUCUCCCUAAAAGUGAGAUUCUAGCUGACAUCGGGCACUGCGUUGCGGACAAGACGGCUUUACUGACGCUUGCCCCAAAUGAAAGGGUCAUGGAUGACGUUAUUUCCGUCGUGGCCAUGAUGUUGUCAAAGACAUC